UGGGGGAUAUUGCACAAUGGAGGAAACUCUGAUGCAGCAACGCCGCGUGAGUGAUGAAGGUCUUCGGAUUGUAAAGCUCUGUCUUUUGGGACGAUAAUGACGGUACCAAAGGAGGAAGCCACGGCUAACUACGUGCCAGCAGCCGCGGUAAUACGUAGGUGGCGAGCGUUGUCCGGAUUUACUGGGCGUAAAGGGUGCGUAGGCGGAUGUUUAAGUGAGAUGUGAAAUACCCGGGCUUAACUUGGGUGCUGCAUUUCAAACUGGAUAUCUAGAGUGCAGGAGAGGAGAAUGGAAUUCCUAGUGUAGCGGUGAAAUGCGUAGAGAUUAGGAAGAACACCAGUGGCGAAGGCGAUUCUCUGGACUGUAACUGACGCUGAGGCACGAAAGCGUGGGUAGCAAACAGGAUUAGAUACCCUGGUAGUCCACGCCGUAAACGAUGAGUACUAGGUGUAGGAGGUAUCGACCCCUUCUGUGCCGCAGUAAACACAUUAAGUACUCCGCCUGGGAAGUACGAUCGCAAGAUUAAAAC
rnacentral:rRNA from 1 species